rnacentral:rRNA from 1 species
GACGAACGCUGGCGGCGUGCUUAACACAUGCAAGUCGAACGGUGACGAGGAGCUUGCUCCUCUGAUCAGUGGCGAACGGGUGAGUAACACGUGAGCAACCUGCCCCAGACUCUGGGAUAACAGUUGGAAACAGCUGCUAAUACCGGAUACGAGGCGGAGAGGCAUCUCUACCGUCUGGAAAGUUUUUCGGUCUGGGAUGGACUCGCGGCCUAUCAGCUAGUUGGUGAGGUAAUGGCUCACCAAGGCGACGACGGGUAGCCGGCCUGAGAGGGCGACCGGCCACACUGGGACUGAGACACGGCCCAGACUCCUACGGGAGGCAGCAGUGGGGAAUAUUGCACAAUGGGCGAAAGCCUGAUGCAGCGACGCCGCGUGAGGGAUGAAGGCCUUCGGGUUGUAAACCUCUUUCAGCAGGGAAGAAGCGAAAGUGACGGUACCUGCAGAAGAAGCACCGGCUAACUACGUG